rnacentral:rRNA from 1 species
GACGAACGCUGGCGGCGUGCUUAACACAUGCAAGUCGAACGGAAAGGCCCUGCUUUUGUGGGGUGCUCGAGUGGCGAACGGGUGAGUAACACGUGAGUAACCUGCCCUUGACUUUGGGAUAACUUCAGGAAACUGGGGCUAAUACCGGAUAGGAGCUCCUGCUGCAUGGUGGGGGUUGGAAAGUUUCGGCGGUUGGGGAUGGACUCGCGGGUUAUCAGCUUGUUGGUGGGGUAGUGGCUUACCAAGGCUUUGACGGGUAGCCGGCCUGGGAGGGUGAACGGCGACAUUGGGACUGCGAUACGGCCCAGACUCCUACGGGAGGCAGCAGUGGGGAAUAUUGCACAAUGGGCGGAAGCCUGAUGCAGCAACGUCGCGUGCGGGAUGACGGCCUUCGGGUUGUAAACCGCUUUCGCCUGUGACGAAGCGUGAGUGACGGUAAUGGGUAAAGAAGCACCGGCUAACUACGUG